rnacentral:rRNA from 1 species
GGAUGACUGGCGGAGCAUCUGCUACAGGAGAUGGGCCUGCGGCGCAUUAGCUAGUUGGUGGGGUAACGGCUCACCAAGGCGACGAUGCGUAUCCGACCUGAGAGGGUGAACGGCCACACUGGGACUGAGACACGGCCCAGACUCCUACGGGAGGCAGCAGUAGGGAAUCUUCCGCAAUGGGCGAAAGCCUGACGGAGCAACGCCGCGUGAGUGAUGAACGUUUUCGGAUCGUAAAGCUCUGUUGCCCGGAAGACGUCCGGUAAAGAACUGCUGCCGGAGUGACGGUACCUGACAAGAAGCCCGGCUACUACGUGCCAACAGCCGCGGUAUACGUAGGGGCAGCGUUGUUCGGAAUAUUGGGCGUAAGUCGCGCAGCGGCUAUUAGUCUGGGUUAAAGCUUGGCUCACCUGGGUCGCCUGGAACUGGUGCUUG